rnacentral:rRNA from 1 species
GGUUCAGAACGAACGCUGGCGGCGUGCUUAACACAUGCAAGUCGAACGCGAAAGGGACUUCGGUCCUGAGUAAAGUGGCGCACGGGUGAGUAACGCGUAGAUAACCUGUCUUUAUGUCUGGAAUAAUACGCCGAAAGGGGUACCGUAAUACCGGAUAUUUUUGCAUUGCAUAAGCAGUGUAAGCAAAGGUGGCCUCUGACAUAAGCUACUGCAUAAAGAGGGGUCUGCGUACCAUUAGCUAGUAGGUGGGGUAAAGGCCUACCUAGGCUACGAUGGUUAGCGGGUCUGAGAGGAUGAUCCGCCACACUGGCACUGGAACACGGGCCAGACUCCUACGGGAGGCAGCAGUGAGGAAUAUUGCGCAAUGGGGGCAACCCUGACGCAGCGACGCCGCGUGAGUGAGGAAGGCCUUCGGGUCGUAAAGCUCUGUCAAAGGGAAAGAAGUGCAUGGUGGUUAAUACCUGCCAUGUUUGACGGUACCCUUAAAGGAAGCACCGGCUAACUCCGUGCCAGCCGCUGC